ACAGCCAUAUCAUGUUGAAGCACCAGUUCUUAUAUGAUCACCAAGGUUAAACAAUGUCAAGCCUAAUCAGUACCCAGAUGGGUGACCACUUGGGAAUACCAGGUGCU